GACGAACGCUGGCGGCGUGCUUAACACAUGCAAGUCGAACGGAAAGGCCCUGCUUUUGUGGGGUGCUCGAGUGGCGAACGGGUGAGUAACACGUGAGUAACCUGCCCUUGACUUUGGGAUAACUUCAGGAAACUGGGGCUAAUACCGGAUAGGAGCUCCUGCUGCAUGGUGGGGGUUGGAAAGUUUCGGCGAUUGGGGAUGCACUCGCGGCUUAUCAGCUUGUUGGUGGGGUAGUGGCUUACCAAGGCUUUGACGGGUAGCCGGCCUGAGAGGGUGACCGGCCACAUUGGGACUGAGAUACGGCCCAGACUCCUACGGGAGGCAGCAGUGGGGAAUAUUGCACAAUGGGCGGAAGCCUGAUGCAGCAACGCCGCGUGCGGGAUGACGGCCUUCGGGUUGUAAACCGCUUUCGCCUGUGACGAAGCGUGAGUGACGGUAAUGGGUAAAGAAGCACCGGCUAACUACGUG
rnacentral:rRNA from 1 species